CAAGUCGAACGGCAGCGCGAGAGAGCUUGCUCUCUUGGCGGCGAGUGGCGGACGGGUGAGUAAUAUAUCGGAACGUGCCCAGUAGCGGGGGAUAACUACUCGAAAGAGUGGCUAAUACCGCAUACGCCCUACGGGGGAAAGGGGGGGAUCGCAAGACCUCUCACUAUUGGAGCGGCCGAUAUCGGAUUAGCUAGUUGGUGGGGUAAAGGCUCACCAAGGCAACGAUCCGUAGCUGGUUUGAGAGGACGACCAGCCACACUGGGACUGAGACACGGCCCAGACUCCUACGGGAGGCAGCAGUGGGGAAUUUUGGACAAUGGGGGAAACCCUGAUCCAGCCAUCCCGCGUGUAUGAUGAAGGCCUUCGGGUUGUAAAGUACUUUUGGCAGAGAAGAAAAGGUAUCCCCUAAUACGGGAUACUGCUGACGGUAUCUGCAGAAUAAGCACCGGCUAACUACGUGCCAGCAGCCGCGGUAAUACGUAGGGUGCAAGCGUUAAUCGGAAUUACUGGGCGUAAAGCGUGUGUAGGCGGUUCGGAAAGAAAGAUGUGAAAUCCCAGGGCUCAACCUUGGAACUGCAUUUUUAACUGCCGAGCUAGAGUAUGUCAGAGGGGGGUAGAAUUCCACGUGUAGCAGUGAAAUGCGUAGAUAUGUGGAGGAAUACCGAUGGCGAAGGCAGCCCCCUGGGAUAAUACUGACGCUCAGACACGAAAGCGUGGGGAGCAAACAGGAUUAGAUACC
rnacentral:rRNA from 1 species